CAGCAGCCGCGGGAAUACGUAGGGUGCGAGCGUUAAUCGGAAUUACUGGGCGUAAAGCGUGCGCAGGCGGUUAUGUAAGACAGGUGUGAAAUCCCCGGGCUUAACCUGGGAACUGCGCUUGUGACCGCACAGCUAGAGUAUGGCAGAGGGGGGUGGAAUUCCACGUGUAGCAGUGAAAUGCGUAGAGAUGUGGAGGAACACCGAUGGCGAAGGCAGCCCCCUGGGCCAAUACUGACGCUCAUGCACGAAAGCGUGGGGAGCAAACAGGAUUAGAUACCCCCGUAGUCCCUGUCUCUUAUAC
rnacentral:rRNA from 1 species